CCAUGUCGAUAGGCAAGUUGAGCAGGGGAGUGUUGCCAUGAUGGUGCUCUUCUUGGGUUUGAUGUCUGAAUGCUUCGUCUGUUCGCAGGGCCACUAGAUUGUAGAUCAUUGAGGUCUGCCACCAUGUCAUCUAAAAAAUGCAGCAGGGUACGAGCGGAGGAUGGGAGAUCCGAGUGGCCAUGAUUCUGAAGAAUCUUCAACAACUGAUCAACGGCAUUGUUCUUCACCUGACAGUGAGUGGCCCAGGUUGCCAGAUCUGAUGCAAGUGAUGUACUUUCUAUGUUGUUUUCUUGGUCGGACUCCUCAUCAUUACUUUCCUCAAGGUCAGUGGGUACCUCCCCAUCAUCCUCAAACGUAAACCUCCCUGUCGUCUUCAUAGGCUUCUCCCCUAUCAUCGUCCAAGGCUACCUCCAUGUCAUCCUGCAAGUAUUCCUCCAACUCUAAUGAUGCUGUAAUGG